CAUCUUGCUACUAUCUAGAUCUACUCUAGUUUAGAGAAGAGAGGAGAGCUCUCAUCUCUAAACCCUAGCUUUGGCUCUGUCUAUGAAUAAUGAAUAAUGAUCAAGGGGGUGCCUCCUCCAGGGGCCAGGGGGUCUGGUUAUAUAGUCCCCUCAAGUGAACCUGGGCCGUCGGAUGAAACCGACAUUGAUUGAACAGUUAUUCUUGAUCCUUUAUGUCGGUGGAGCAUAAUCCGCGAGGUUGAACGUGAUUGGCCACUGUAGCAGGGCGGGCGCCCUAAGGACUUGGGUGGGCGCCCAGGUCCUGGCUCCGUUCGGCCUCCGCUUCCUUCCCGUGGCUUCUAGAGUCUUCUAGAUGUAAAAUAAUUGCGCGGCACGUUGAUAUCUCUAUGUAAUCCCGACGUGUGGGCCUUUCUUCCGUAUUUCCUGAUAACCCCCUGCAGAAAUAGACAAACACCAAAACUCGUGGAAUUCUGUCAGAUAAAACCCUAAGUUUAGAUGUUGAUUUCAUUUGGAUCCUUUUCUUUGUUUAUUUGAUAAUUAAAUUUGAUACUUAAGGACCGUCAACAAACUCCCCCAAGCUUACCUCUUGCUCGUCCCUGAGCAAGGAUAGACUCAGCAAUGGAUCAAAAGUUGUUGCAAUAUCUUAAAAAUUUGACGGUACACAUGCUUUUAAAUAAAAUCUCAUCUCUGAGUUAGAGUAAACUGUCAAGAACUAAAACUUACUUACUUUACCUUUCACCAUGGGACUGUAACUGUCUUGAGUAGUUAAAAGAUAGAACAGUCUAGCCAAGUGCCAUGUCUCUUAUUCUUGAUCAGCUAUAGCUCUGGAGUUUUUGCAGAUUUUCAAAUAAAACUCAGAGAUUCCUUAUAUGAUUCUCUCAAAUCUCUCUUUUGUGGUAUUUCUGGAUCCUUACAAGGCAGUAAUGGUAUAUGCAUUCUCUCAAAGUAUGUAGUAUUUGUGGUAUGAGGCAUAGUGAUAUUGCCUUCUCUCUCACCCUACUCUAAUAAGUCUUUAAUAUCUGGAGCUCAUAGGUGGGAGACAGCUAAUACAUACUUACAAGACAUUUAUUGUAUAGUCAAACCAUGGAUCCAAAGAAACAAAUCAAUAAGCCAAAUCAAGAUGUGCAUGUGUGGCGAAUGAAUGGUGUAUGGUGAUGAUGGUGAUAACAAUGGUGAAAGUCUAAUUCUACUUUUGCUCUUUUGAGGGGAUACAUACCUUCCUUGCUUUUUGAAACUUUAUGAGGAGAAUGAGAUGCUCUAUCUUUCAUUUUUUUCUCUCAGGUGGGUAUCUUGUACCCCUAAUUCUACUGUCGGACACUUGUCCAUUUUUACCUCUCGUCUCACUUUUUCUUUCUUUCGAGGUUCCGGGCACUUGCCCCUUUUUAUUUCCUCGUAUAUUUUUUUUCUUCUUUUCUUCUCUUUUCUUUUUUUUUCAGAGCACUCAUCUCUUGAGAUAAUAUAGCAAGUGGUAGUAGCAAGAUAACUUGAGCAUUUAUUUCACAAGGGAAAACAGAAAUAUUUUUGGCUAUUCUCUUCUGGAUUAGGAGUAGAAUAUUUUUGGGUGGUUCUGGAGAUGGAUAUAUGUGGAUGGUACUUCUGGAGUAGAAGUAGCAUAUAUGAGUGAAUGUACAAGUGAAAUCUUGAUUUAACCACAUGACAAGCUCCUAAGGGUCUACACAGCUUGACCACACUCAAUGCUCAUAAGCAGUAAAUAGUAAAUGUGUGGCUCAAAGUCUAGCAAGCAUGUAUAUAUGGCUGUGGUAGGAAUUUAAACUUUCAUCAUACAGGAACUCAUCAUGUAAUAUUUUAAAGAUUUUUCAAAGAUAAAAUUCUCCAGAAUUCUAGCAUCUCUAGGAACAGAUAAACAGCAGCUCAGCCUUCCCAUAUCAUAUCCGUUAACAACUUAGAUUUCAGAUCAAGGUUUCAUCCCACAAGUUUAGAUCUAGAGCAAGCUUUAAAUUAUAACAGUUAUGUCUAAACUUGAGAGAGAACUUCAAAUUUGCAAAUUAGGCAGAGCAACUAUUCAUCAUAUCUAUGCUAGAGUUUUAUUUAGAUACAGAUUAGCAUAGCCAUUUUAUUUUUUUAUUAGACACACUAAGCAAAAGACAUAUAUAUAUAUAAGCAUAAAAUAUUUAUUUGGUUUUCGAUAGUUAUAUUUUAAUAUAGUAUAAGUAUAAAGAUAGAUAGAUAGAAAUACUUAUCGGGAUAAAUGGGGGUGCUCUCCCCCAAGCUGAAUUUUGACGUAAUUUUCCUUGAUGUAGCUAGCAGGUGGCAGAGGUGUAUUUGAGAGUCAGCAGCAUUCUGACAGCGAUUAGAAUGUCCUCCGUCUGCUAGUCUUCUUGAUUCUUAAAUCCUGUGGAGCUCAAAUAGACAACAAAGCUUGUGGAACUGAUUAAGUAUUAGCAUAAAUAUCUAGCCUUCAUCAUGUUAAGCUUCCUCAAUAAAUAUUACUCCCUAUUUUUAUAUUUUUAUUUUAUAAAGUAGAAAAGAAAUAUUUAUUUUAUUUUUAUGCCACCAUAGUGAAGGUACUUAUGGGUUUUAUGCCACUCGUAUACUCACAUGGGGCUUAGUAUUUUUUAACAUUUUUUUCUUUUCAAGAUAGCAUAAUUAACUAAUAAUCUAUUUAAGGAAAGUAAAUAAUUAAAGGAAAAAGGGAAUGCAAAAAGGAUAAAUAUGGAUAACUACCGAUCUUACCUUUCGGCGAGGGUUCAAUGUUUUAAGUCUUCUUAACAAGACUUCUCACCGUGUUCAUUUUUUAGGUGCGUCAUUUGAUUCAGGUGCGGACCUUGACGUCUGCACCUCUUCGUUUGCCCAGCAGUUCUGUAACGUCCCGCCUCCACGAGGCCGGGCCCGCUUACAUCUGGCAGCUUUCUAGGACAAAGUCAGUCCCCACAGACCAACACUAGUCUUUUCUGCACACUUUGUCCUCACUCGUGCGCACCCGGGAACUACUUCCCGGUCGGUCACCCAUUCCUAAAUUGCUCUAGGCCAAGCACGCUUAACUUUAGAGUUCUUUCGAGAUAGGCUCCCAGAAAAGAAGUUGCAACUUGUUGGUAUGAGUCUCCUAUUAAUCCUAUUAAGCCCUGGGCCGGGUGUUACAUCCUCACCUCCUUAAGAGAUCGACGUCCUCGUCGAUCAACCCCAAGCCAGGAACGUCCCCUCUUGGCCACGUCCGUGCAUCCAGUGCCAGCGCAUAUGCCAUGCUGUGUGACCACUCCGGAUCCACACCAGCCAUGCACACCAUGCCUGCGCAACUGCGACACACGCGCCCGUGAAACCGCGAGGGUCGGCUCUGAUACCAG
rnacentral:lncRNA from 1 species